UUCUAAUCAUGCUCAUUUCUAGUUUUCUUUUGGAUCAUGCCAACCCUGUCUUGCCUGCCCGUUUAUUGUUUUGUUCCUGCCUCUUCUAUGAAACUACCGGAUUCCUUCUGUGGAUCUCUUCAGCCAAGGCUCCUGAAAUCUGUUCCAUGGCUCUUAGCGUCUUUGGGCUGAACGCUACGUGGGUCUCCAUUUCUUGCUCCACUGCUCUCCUGGUAACUGCCUUUUGAGUCCUUACCUCUGCUCCACUGCCAAUAAUUUGCCUGUCCACCCUCCCACUGAUCCACGGAUUCCUCCUGGAAGGAAAAGAAAACAGACAUGAGAAAACCAAACACCUGCCAACCUCAGAUUAAUGGAUUGCUUACCUCCCUCUGGAUUCCUCGUCGCCUUUCUGACAGUAAUCUUCUCUCAUCCUGAAAUAUUUCAUCUGCAUCAUCUUCUGAUCAGCUACUAGUACUUACCUUUUCUCCUAGUGCCAUCCUGCCGAUCUUAUUUUCCUUAUUUGAAAAUAAACAUUUCAGUUUUU